AACGAACGCUGGCGGCAUGCCUAACACAUGCAAGUCGAACGAACCCUUCGGGGUUAGUGGCGCACGGGUGCGUAACGCGUGGGAACCUGCCUUUAGGUUCGGAAUAACUCAGAGAAAUUUGAGCUAAUACCGGAUAAUGUCUUCGGACCAAAGAUUUAUCGCCUUUAGAUGGGCCCGCGUUAGAUUAGAUAGUUGGUGGGGUAAUGGCCUACCAAGUCGACGAUCUAUAGCUGGUCUGAGAGGAUGAUCAGCCACACUGGGACUGAGACACGGCCCAGACUCCUACGGGAGGCAGCAGUGGGGAAUAUUGGACAAUGGGCGAAAGACCUGAUCCAGCAAUGCCGCGUGAGUGAUGAAGGCCUUAGGGUUGUAAAGCUCUUUUACCAGGGAUGAUAAUGACAGUACCUGGAGAAUAAGCUCCGGCUAACUCCGUGCCAGCGGCCGCGGUAAUACGGAGGGAGCUAGCGUUGUUCGGAAUUACUGGCGUAAAGCGCGCGUAGGCGGUC
rnacentral:rRNA from 1 species